AAAAACCUGCUGUUGCGCGCCCAAAAACCGGUACCGUGUAUACUGCCCUCUAUUGUUUAGUCUUUUCGGUCGGCCAUUUUUAUUGAAAGGAAAAGGGCUCGACAAGAGUUGGAAUCUCUUGUGUCAGUUGCACAUCAUGGCCAAGUCCAAGAAUCACACCAGUCAUAACAACAGCCGCAAGAACCACCGCAAUGGUUUCAAGAGACCCAAGAAGACGAAGGUUCCUUCUCUUAAAGGGGUUGAUGCAAAGUUCCUGAAGAACAUGCGGUUUGCCAAGAAGCACAACAAAAGGCACCCCAAGCCCAAGGCUGAAGCAUAAACUGGAUGUCAAGCGGCUUAUAUACAUGUAUAUUUAAAACAAAAAAAUGUCUGGAAGUGACUUGUUUUGGAAACUCGGCGACCUUACAAGCAUUUUGGUGUUGGAAAAUAAGCCCCACAGUAAAGAUAUGAGUUCAUCAGAGCUUUGCCCAAUUCAACCUACUCGGGGGACGUGUUGUGGUUUCUUCACCAUAAGUUAAAGGGAUGGAUCGCAGGAGAUUGCAAAGGGAAGCACCUACACAUUUCCAUCCUUGAUCUUUAAUUUUCUCCCUUUAUCCAAUGAAUGAAAGACCUGCAUCUUUUUUGGAGAUGUGUUGAAUAAAAUGGAGGGUCACACCUAACCCAGGAGAAAAAAA